rnacentral:rRNA from 1 species
UACGUAGGGGGCUAGCGUUGUCCGGAAUCAUUGGGCGUAAAGAGCGUGUAGGCGGCUUGGUAAGUCCGCUGUGAAAGUCCAGGGCUCAACCCUGGAAAGCCAGUGGAAACUGUCAAGCUAGAGUCCGGAAGAGGCGAGUGGAACUCCUGGUGUAGCGGUGAAAUGCGCAGAUAUCAGGAAGAACACCAAUGGCGAAGGCAGCUCGCUGGGACGGUACUGACGCUGAGACGCGAAAGCGUGGGGAUCAAACAGG